UUAAAGCUUUUUUUUUAAGUUGUGACGGUUCAGCUUCACUCCAAACCCAACGACACUCAUCCCUUUCUCACUCUCGUUUCAUAUCGUAUCCUCUUUCGCCGGAAAUCGCUCCGCCGCGCCGGAGACGGCGGAGCUCCCCUAACCUCGCGAUAGCGCCCUCAUUCUACUCCUCUCUUCGCCCUCUAUCCCAACCUCAAACUUAAAGCCUCAGAUUUUCUCUCAAUUUUCCCUAAUCUGAUCCACAAUAGAAACCCUAGAUCUAGCCAUAACCGAAAUUAAACGUUAAUGGAAGUGAAUCAAAGCACAAGAAUGCGAGAUACAUACAAUGAUUUCUGUAAUCAGAGGAAAGUUUAGGCUUACCUACCGGAGCAGUUCCGGUGACUCUUCAACGGCGAUGACGGUAACAGAAAACCAGUGGCUCGACGCGAAAUAAACGCGGAGUCUUGAAGAGGAGCCUCAGCUUGGAGCACAUACGAAGACGGCGACGAUAAACCUUAGGGCCGGUACAAGUUUGAUAAAGCUAGGAGUGCAUGAAGUUUACAACUUGGGAGUUAGAAAUAUGGAGACAGAAGGCUUCGCUCUCUUUCUUUUUUGAACUGAUGCAGCUGCAGCUAACUGUCGAAACUAGUUUUGAAGGGUUGGUAUUAGUUACGGUUUUGACUAGCAAACGCAUGGUAUCUUUAUGGAUUCUGUUUGGGUUUGAGAUAUGUAUUGAUGAACUAUAACCGUAUGGUGCAGGAUAUGGCUUUGUUCUUUUGGUGCAAGGCUCUUGGCAUGGGGUUUACUUGGAGGAAAAUAGAAGCAAAAGGAUUGAGCAUGAAGUUGGCGUGAAGAAAUGUUGAAGAAGCUUCGAAGACGAAUAUUGAAGCUUUUAGGCAUCGGCUUGGGAUUAGUUUAUGAUUUUUGUGUUGUAAUUUUGUAAAGAUUUUGAAUUUGUAAUGGGCAUGGACACUUUGUGAUGAACUUUGGAAUUGGAUAUUUUCUUUGGAUAUUUGAAUGGUGAAUGAAUGAUAUUGACUCUUGAAUUUGAACGAUGUAGAACACUUGGACUUGUAUAAUGAAAUUUGACAUAGUUACUUUGAAUUGGAAUUUGAUAGGAUGAUUCGAACACUUGAAUGAUGAUUGGUGUUCACAUGACUUAGGCUUGAAAUUUGGAUGAUAAUGAGCGGAAAGAUGUAUGGAUCUUGAACGAAUGGUUGAAUGAAUUUGAAUAGAAUUGCACCAACACCUAACAAAUCUUUUUGAUGAAUAAUCAUGCACGCCUUAGUCUUGUAACGGGAAUACCAAACACUUCCGAUUACUCUCUUUUUUUUAUUUAUUUACGCAACUCCACUUCAAGUUUUAAUGAAUAAACUCAAGUCCACUUAAUAAAUCUUCACUUUCAAAUUUCAACGACAAGUCUCGAAUCAUUAUUUCUCGAAAUCUCAAUUAACCCGCAAUUGAAGUACUAAGUACAUGAUGCGAGCCAAAAGUUGUGUUGAUCAAGAAUAAAUGAACAAGUCAACCUCUCCUACCAUUGCUCUUGUAUUUCAAACCACCACAACAGUAAUGCCUUGAGGAAUUCUUGAAGAAGAUAAGAA